rnacentral:rRNA from 1 species
UACGAAGGGGGCUAGCGUUGCUCGGAAUGACUGGGCGUAAAGGGCGCGUAGGCGGAUGGCACAGUCAGAUGUGAAAUUCCUGGGCUUAACCUGGGGGCUGCAUUUGAUACGUGUGAUCUAGAGUGAGGAAGAGGGUUGUGGAAUUCCCAGUGUAGAGGUGAAAUUCGCAGAUAUUGGGAAGAACACCGGUGGCGAAGGCGGCGACCUGGUCCUUAACUGACGCUGAGGCGCGAAAGCGUGGGGAGCAAACAGG